rnacentral:sRNA from 1 species
AUGAGUCGUCUAAGACAGACUGGGUCCUCAAAUGACAGACGACGUAGUGGACGUCCAAGAGAAACGACGUUACGCCAAGACCGUGGAAUAAGAUUCACACAUCUCAGGGAUCGGUUUUUACCAGCUACAAUUACCGCAAGACAAACACCUGGAAGGCAUAAUCCAAGGAUAUCCGCCCAAACUGUACGUAAUAGGUUCAGAGAGGCUGGUUUGCGUUCACGACGUCCAGUAGUAGGAGCCAUUCUAAAACAGCGUCAUCGAAAUGCACGCCUACGUUGGGCAAAUGCACGUUUGUAG